UACGGAGGGUGCAAGCGUUAAUCGGAAUUACUGGGCGUAAAGCGCGCGUAGGUGGUAAAUUAAGUUGGAUGUGAAAUCCCCGAGCUCAACUUGGGACCUGCAUUCAAAACUGGUUUGCUAGAGUAUAGUAGAGGAUGGUGGAAUUUCCUGUGUAGCGGUGGAAUGCAUAGAUAUAGGAAAGAACAUCAGUGGCGAAGGCGUCCAUCUGGACUAAUACUGACGCUGAGGUGCGAAAGCGUGGGGAGCAAACAGG
rnacentral:rRNA from 1 species